rnacentral:rRNA from 1 species
GACGAACGCUGGCGGCGUGCUUAACACAUGCAAGUCGAACGGAAAGGCCCUGCUUUUGUGGGGUGCUCGAGUGGCGAACGGGUGAGUAACACGUGAGUAACCUGCCCUUGACUUUGGGAUAACUUCAGGAAACUGGGGCUAAUACCGGAUAGGAGCUCCUGCUGCAUGGUGGGGGUUGGAAAGUUUCGGCGGUUGGGGAUGGACUCGCGGCUUAUCAGCUUGUUGGUGGGGUAGUGGCUUACCAAGGCUUUGACGGGUAGCCGGCCUGAGAGGGUGACCGGCCACAUUGGGACUGAGAUACGGCCCAGACUCCUACGGGAGGCAGCAGUGGGGAAUAUUGCACAAUGGGCGGAAGCCUGAGGCAGCAACGCCGCGUGCGGGAUGACGGCCUUCGGGUUGUAAACCGCCUUCGCCUGUGACGAAGCGUGAGUGACGGUAAUGGGUAAAGAAGCACCGGCUAACUACGUG